rnacentral:rRNA from 1 species
UACGUAGGGGGCGAGCGUUGUCCGGAAUUAUUGGGCGUAAAGGGCUCGUAGGCGGUUUGUCGCGUCGGGAGUGAAAACCCAGGGCUUAACCCUGGGCUGGCUUCCGAUACGGGCAGACUUGAGUUCGGUAGGGGAGACUGGAAUUCCUGGUGUAGCGGUGAAAUGCGCAGAUAUCAGGAGGAACACCGGUGGCGAAGGCGGGUCUCUGGGCCGAUACUGACGCUGAGGAGCGAAAGCGUGGGGAGCGAACAGG